rnacentral:rRNA from 1 species
UACAGAGGUCUCGAGCGUUGUUCGGAUUCAUUGGGCGUAAAGGGCGCGUAGGCGGCGGGGUAAGUCUGGUGUGAAAUCUCGGAGCUCAACUCCGAAAUUGCACUGGAUACUGCUCUGCUAGAGGGCUGGAGAGGAGAUCGGAAUUCACGGUGUAGCAGUGAAAUGCGUAGAUAUCGUGAGGAAGACCAGUGGCGAAGGCAGAUCUCUGGACAGCUCCUGACGCUGAGGCGCGAAGGCUAGGGGAGCAAACGGG